rnacentral:rRNA from 1 species
AUUGAACGCUGGCGGCAGGCCUAACACAUGUAAGUCGAACGGUAGCACAGAGAGCUUGCUCUCGGGUGACGAGUGGCGGACGGGUGAGUAAUGUCUGGGAAACUGCCCGAUGGAGGGGGAUAACUACUGGAAACGGUAGCUAAUACCGCAUAACGUCUUCGGACCAAAGUGGGGGACCUUCGGGCCUCACACCAUCGGAUGUGCCCAGAUGGGAUUAGCUAGUAGGUGGGGUAAUGGCUCACCUAGGCGACGAUCCCUAGCUGGUCUGAGAGGAUGACCAGCCACACUGGAACUGAGACACGGUCCAGACUCCUACGGGAGGCAGCAGUGGGGAAUAUUGCACAAUGGGCGCAAGCCUGAUGCAGCCAUGCCGCGUGUAUGAAGAAGGCCUUCGGGUUGUAAAGUACUUUCAGCGGGGAGGAAGGCGAUGUGGUUAAUAACCGCAUCGAUUGACGUUACCCGCAGAAGAAGCACCGGCUAACUCCGUGCCAGCCGCCGCAGUAACAC